ensembl:lncRNA
AUGUGUGUGCGGUCACAGGGCCAUGAUCUCAUUGCCAUUACAGAGACAUGGUGGGAUAGCUCGCAUGACUGGAGUGCUGUCAUGGAUGGCUACAUGCUUUUUAGGAAAGACAGGCCAGGAAAGGGAGGUGGUGGAGUUGCCCUUUACAUGAGAGGGCAGCAGGGAUGUACGGAGCUCUGCCUGGGGGUGGAUGAUGAAUCAGCUAAGAGCUUAUGGGUGAGGAUUAAGGGGCAAGCUAACAUGGGUGACACUGUUGUGGGUGUUUACUACAGGCCACCUGAUCAGGAAGAGGAAGUCAAUGAGGCCUUCUACAGACAGCUGGAAGUAGCCUCACAAUCCCAGGCCCUGGUUCUCAUGGGGGACUUCAACCACUCCGAUAUCUGCUGGAAAGACAACACAGCUAGGCACAAACAGUCCUGGAGGUUCCUGCAGAGCAUUGGUGACAACUUCUUGACACAGGUGGUGGAGGAGCCAACAAGGAGAGGUGUGCUGCUGGACCUCGUACUAACAGACAAAGAAGGACUGGUUGGAGAUGUGAAGGUUGGGGACAGCCUUGGCUGCAGUGACCAUGAGAUGGUGGAGUUCAGGAUCCUGCGAGGAGGAGGCAGGGCAAUGAGUGGAAUCGCAAUCCUGGAGUUUAGGAGAGCAAACUUUGGCCUCUUCARGGACCUACUUGGAGGAAUCCCAUGGGUUAGGGCCCUAGAAGGAAGGGGGAUCCAAGAGAGCUGGUUAAUAUUCAAACAUCACUUCCUCCAAGCUCAAGAUCACUGCAUCCCUGUGAGUAAGAAAUCAAGCAAAGAGGGCAGGAGACCUGCAUGGAUGAGCAAGGAGCUCCUGGCAAAACUCAACCAGAAGAAGGAGGUCUACAGAAAGUGGAAAGGGGGACAGGCCACUUGGGAGGAAUAUAGAAAUAUUGUCAGAGUAUGCAGGGAUGCAACGAGGAAGGCUAAGGCCCGUUUGGAAUUAAAUCUGGCAAGAGGUGUCAAGGACCACAAGAAGGGCUUCUUCAAAUACAUCAGUAGCAAGAGGAAGACUAGGGAAAAUGUGGGCCCUUUGCUGAAUGGGGUGGGUGCCCUGGUGACCAAGGAUGCAGAGAAGGCAGAGUUACUGAAUGCCUUCUUUGCUUCAGUCUUUACUGCUCAGGCCAGCCCUCAGGAACCCCAGACCCUGGAGGCAAGAGAGAAAGUCUGGAGAGAGGAAGACUUUCCCUUGGUCGAGGAGGAUCGGGUUAGAGAUCAUUUAAGCAAACUUGACACCCACAAAUCCAUGGGCCCUGAUGGGAUGCACCCUCGAGUGCUGAGGGAGCUGGCGGACGUUAUUGUUAAGCCACUCUCCAUCAUCUUUGAAAGGUCAUGGAGAAACAGGAGAGAUGCCUGGAGACUGGAAGAAAGCCAAUGUCACCCCAGUCUUCCAAAAGGGCAAGGAGGAGGACCCAGGGAACUACAGGCCAGUCAGCCUCACCUGCAUUCCUGGAAAGGUGAUAGAGCAGCUCAUCCUGGAGGCCACCUCCAAGCAUGUGGAGGACAAGAAGGUGAUCAGGAGUAG